rnacentral:rRNA from 1 species
CGGGUGAGUGGCGGACGGGUGAGUAACGCGUGGGAAGUCUGCCCUCAGGAGGGGGAUAACGGCUGGAAACGGCCGCUAAUACCCCAUAGUGCCGAGAGGUGAAAUGAAUUUCGCCUGAGGAUGAGCCCGCGUCUGAUUAGCUAGUUGGUGUGGUAAAUGGCGCACCAAGGCUUCGAUCAGUAGCUGGUCUGAGAGGAUGAUCAGCCACACUGGGACUGAGACACGGCCCAGACUCCUACGGGAGGCAGCAGUGGGGAAUUUUCCGCAAUGGGCGAAAGCCUGAACCGGAGCAACGCCGCGUGAGGGACGAAGGCCUCUGGGCUGUAAACCUCUUUUCUCAAGGAAGAAGACAUGACGGUACUUGAGGAAUAAGCCACGGCUAAUUCCGUGCCAGCCGCCGC